rnacentral:sRNA from 1 species
GCCUAACACAUGCAAGUCUGGGAGAAAAGGGUAGCAAUACCCUGAGUAAACCGGCCCAAGGGUGAGUAACACGUAAGCAAUCUGCCUUUUGGACGGGAAUAACUUCGAGAAAUCGAGGAUAAUACCCGAUAAUGCAGCGGCACCGCAUGGUGAUGUUGUUAAAGGCCUUCGGGCGCCUAUUGAUGAGCCUGCGUCCCAUUAGGUAGUUGGCGGGGUAAAAGCCCACCAAGCCGACGAUGGGUAGCUGGUCUGAGAGGAUGAUCAGCCACACUGGAACUGAGACACGGUCCAGACUCCUACGGGAGGCAGCAGUGGGACUCCUACGGGAGGC